UCGAUUUCUGAAAAAUCAGCCCAUCCAGCCCACGGCCAGAACAAAGUGGGUGAAUUGUCGGAGCAUAAACCGUUGACAAAGGUGCCUAUGCUGCAGGCCCUUAACGAUAAAACGGAACAUUGUUAAUCCCAAGAAGAAGGCACAAUAAAUGUGUCCGAAACGUCGGAUGAAAGCAUAAGAAUCCGUUUUUAAUUAAAAGAGACUGGAAGCCAUUACCCCGAAUCAACUAUCACAGUCGUAUCUCUAAGAAAAU